rnacentral:rRNA from 1 species
AGAACGAACGCUGGCGGCAGGCCUCAAACAUGCAAGUCUAGGGGGGUGUAGCAAUACAUCACCGGCGGACGGGUGCGUAACGCGUGGGAAUAUACCUAUUGGUUCGGAACAACUGAGGGAAACUUCAGCUAAUACCGGAUAAGCCCUUACGGGGAAAGAUUUCUCGCCAAUAGAUUAGCCCGCGUCCGAUUAGCUAGUUGGUGGGGUAAAAGCCUACCAAGGCAACGAUCGGUAGCUGUUCUGAGAGGAAGAUCAGCCACACUGGGACUGAGACACGGCCCAGACUCCUACGGGAGGCAGCAGUUGGGAAUCUUGGACAAUGGGGGAAACCCUGAUCCAGCCAUGCCGCGUGAGUGAUGAAGGCCUUCGGGUUGUAAACUCUUUCGACGGGACGAUAAUGACGGUACCCGUAGAAGAAGCUCCGGCUAACUUCGUGCCAGCAGCCGC